GCAUUUGCAAUUUGUGUCUGGUUCCUUGUAAAGAUUUUCUAAUAACAGACUUUCACCAGACUCAAUAAAAAGAAGGCAUUAACCAAAUUUUAUUUUGCAAUUUUCCAUGUUAUUGCAAUUUUUAUGCAAUACUCCUUAAUUUAGUGCAAUUUUUCGCGAAUUCAACGUUAGUCAGAUGAUAUUAAUGAAUGAAUAAUGAUCCUCACUUAAAUAUGUUUAGCUGGUUAUGAAUUGCGUCGGCUGAACGUAAAACACGUACGAGAUAGCAGCACAAAAAUAAUCUCAGUAACUUGAAACCUAAGCAGGGAACAUAUUACAAUAAUUGCAUUUUAUAUAGACUGCCAGUGCGAGUGAAUACCUUAUAAAAAGUGUAGGUGGUAUUGUUAAUCCUAUAUUUCUGUUAAAAUGCCGAAAGUUGCUUCAUCAAUUUCCCAAAAAUUGCAAGAGUAGAUUGGUCCUUAUAAUAAAAACGCGGAAGUAUUUACUUCAGAUGGCAAAAUUAUAUUUUGCAAUGUCUGCUCUAAAUCCGUAGGGACAGGAAAAAAAUAUUUUAUAGACGCCCAUGUUAAAACUGAAAGCCACAUACGCGCAUUGAGUAAAAAUGUGAAAAGCAAACAAACUUUGCUGACCAUACCUGCCUUGACUUCCAGUGAUAAAAGAAAUGAAUUUUACGAGGAUUUAUGUGGUGCACUUUUGGGGUCCAAUAUACCUUUUUACAAAGUAAAUGCGGAACCUUUCAAACAAUUUCUGGAAAAGUACACAAGUCGUCACGUUCCAGAUGAAAGUACUUUAAGGAAAACAUACCUUCCAACAGUAUUCCGGAAGAAAAUGGAAAAUAUUAAAACUUCCGUUGGGAAUAGCUGUGUGUACUUAAUUGUAGACGAAACAACAGAUUCCAGAGGCUAGUAGAAUUUUCACAAUAUCUUUUUUUUCUGAAAUUUCAUUUUAUAGGUUUCUACAUUGCAAAUUUGCUGGUUGGCGUGUUAGACACUGAUGAACCCCAGAAACCAUUUCUCAUUGCUUGUAAACGUCUGCCAACAACUAAUUUUGAAACAAUAUGUCAGUUUAUAAACAAAUCUCUUACUGCUUUCUCGUCUACCAUUAAUGGGCGCGUUUUACUUUUACUUACCGAUGCAGCGCCUUAUAUGGUUAAAGCUGCAAAAACUGAAGGUUUUUUAUCCAAAUUUAUUACAUGUUACAUGUCUAGCACAUGGAAUAAAUAGGGUUGCAGAGGUUGCCAGAGAACUGUGCCCUGGAGUUAACAAAUUGGUUAACAAUGGAAAGAAAGCGUUCCUUAAAGCACCUUCACGUGUGGCAAUAUACAAAGAAAUUAUGCCAGAUUCGCCUCUUCCUCCGGAGCCAAUAAUUACUCGUUGGGGUACUUGGUUGGAAGCAGCGAUAUUUUACGCCAACAACUAUGAAAAAUUUGCUGCAGUUGUUAGGAGGUUAGAGGAUGACGCAGAAUCCGUAAAAAAAUUAAAACUCUUAAUAGAAGAACGAAGCGUACAGAAUGAAUUAAUAUUUAUUAAAACACACUUGUGCUUUCUCCCUGAGUGUUUGAAGCAAUUAGAAAAUCAAGGAAUGUCACUAUAUGACAGCAUAUCUAUCGUGC